UACAGAGGAUGCAAGCGUUAUCCGGAAUGAUUGGGCGUAAAGCGUCUGUAGGUGGCUUUUAAGUCCGCCGUCAAAUCCCAGGGCUCAACUCUGGACAGGCGGUGGAACUACCAAGCUGGAGUACGGUAGGGCAGAGGGAAUUUCCGGUGGAGCGGUGAAAUGCGUAGAGAUCGGAAAGAACACCAACGGCGAAAGCACUCUGCUGGGCCGACACUGACACUGAGAGACGAAAGCUAGGGGAGCGAAUGGG
rnacentral:rRNA from 1 species